CUGUGUGCUCAGCAGCAGGAUGGGAGUCAUGCUGGGACCACAGGGAUGAUCAUUUCCCAUGCAGAUGGCCACGAUGUCACCUCUUGAUCAUUUGUUCAUGGGUGACAGAGCCAGGACUCCUUUUUAGUCCCACUAUGGUGCUGUUCCCUCCCUGCAGCCAGGCCUCUGCCACCAAGUCACCCACAAUGCUGCCCCAUCGGGACCUUCCUCCCUCCCACACCAGCAAAUGCUGUUGGUUUUCCUUUUCCUCUCCCAAAUUCCUCAUAAAUUUCCUAUUGCCAGUGCCAUGUUCCCAUUAAACCUCGCAGGAUGAUUGCAUCUGUCAGUGUCACUGUCUGGGGCUGGAAUGUGUCACCCUGCUCCAGAGGAGUCAUUUAUUUCGCUGUAGUGGAGCAUUUCAGGACAAAGCACUGGGUUGGAUCACAGUGGGACAGUUUACCUGCAGUGGCAAGCUCUGAUCCAUCUUGUGCAGUGGGAGGAAAGCGCUGCUGCUGGAUUCUUUCCUAUUUAAUUUUCCUAAACAGAGGGAUGAGGAGCACGAGAGCUGCCCAUCAGCAGGAUCCUGCGCUGUGCUGGAGCGUCAUAAGGAAAGGAAGUUUGCUUCAGAAAGUCUCCAUAACCCAUGAGUCUGGAGCAGACAUUUCUGUCACCAUCCUCAUCGUGUCUCACUGCUCCUGAACCCCAAGAAAACCAUUAGACAGAUAUUUUGGAUCAAUGAGAACCAGAAGGACCUCUGCUCCUCCAGCCAAGUGAGGACUCUUUUAACUGCGCACACGGAAAACGCAUCCCAUGAGCAGAUCCCCUCCCCUCACAGGUGAGAUUAGGAGGUCGUAUUUCAUGAGUGCUCGUGGAUCCCCUUUCUGAAGCCCUAAUGAACUAUGGAUGAGUGACCGCGGUAAUCCAGUCUGUGCAGGAGCUCAUUAAAGUCACCGAGUCCACUAUAAUAACUAGUUGCAUCUGAUCAGAUUACUUCUUCAAGAUGCCGUUUCCACUGGCGAACAAGAGCCUGCUCUUAUCCUAGUGUGGGCAGCAGGAGCCUUGCUCUGGGCUCGGUGAGCGAGGAGCUGGCUCUUGCCUCGUGCACCAUUAACAAGGUACAAUAUGAUGAGCUUACAGUGCAGAAAGGCCAUGGGAUUUCCCAUUGCUGCUUUGCUUGGCCAAGCCCAGCUGGAGCAGGAGCCUCAUAUCGUG